AGCUCAACUGCAAUAACUUCAUCACUGAACUAUUCUUACAGAUUCUCUCCUUCAAACUGGUUCAUCUCUCUCUCCCAUUACUCUCCUUGCUUUUCUGCCAUUAUUCCUCUACAAUUUCUCAAUUUUACUUUUACUCUUACUUUGCUUUUCUAAUAUGGAAAUUCCUUAUUUGUUCUCAAAACGUUUAUAAUUAACAUUUAAUGACGGUUAUAACUAUUGAGUUAAGUAGGUAAUUGAAGACUCUCCUAAAGAAGAGUACUCAUUUAUCAGAUUAAUUGAUUAUAAAUGUAAUAUUACCUAUAAGCAAUACCAACGCUCAUUUCACUUUCUUCUCGAUAUCUCGAAACUGAAUCCCUAAUUGAUAAGUUAGUGUGAGCUUAUCCACGCAGUUAUAUACCCUUUCAAAUAGAAAUCUAUUUUCUCAAAGAUUUUAGCUACCCUCACAAAAUACACUCUAAGAACUCAAAUUUACAUAAUUUUUGUAAAGUCAAAAUAAGAUAACACUUUUUUUUUUUGGAAACAUUUUAUCCGAAUUCUAUCUAAAGUCAGUGGGUUCAUUAGAUCCUCUCAUGAUUUCAAUAUUUAUGCACAAUCAAUGUAAAAAACUAAUAGUUUUCAAUGAUUUGAAAGUUAUUGUAUGAAUUGUUUUUUAGUAAUUUUCAUUCUCAUCGAAUUACGGUGUAAAAAAUAUCUACACUAUCAAUGUUAUUGAAUUAUUUUUUUAUUAAACUAAAAUUUUACUUAUUGUUAUAUUAAAUUGAAAAAAGACAUUAACAUUUAGACUCUGAUUUCUAUUUAACAUUAGUUACUUCCUCUUUCAAUGCCAUACCAUUUGUUUAAAUAACAUUUCAUCCUUAAUUAACCUCACGUUAUUUAUUUUAACUCUUACACUUUCUUUCAAUUUUUAAUAAAACUUGACUUUAUACACGAAUUUUGUAAAAGAAACUAUAAUUUUUUUUAAAAAAACUAAUAUACUUAAAAUUAUAAUUACGUAUGCAUGAAUAAAUUUAUAUAAAAACCCAUAAACAUAUUGUGACUUUUCAUUUAUUAUCAUUAACCACAACUAAUUUUAUCGAACAUUCUAAAAAUUUACUUCAAAACAUUCAAUUAUAUCAUCAUUAACUUCUACCAAACACCACUAUAAAAGAUAAACAAAAAAAAGUCAUAUACCAUGUCAUACAUAAUUGAUGAUGGAAUAAUGAACCAUUCUAUAUCACUAGCUAGGCCUGAAACAACCCCACAUCACGAAUCAAUGCUCGAAUAUUCUCUGAUUAAUUAUUCUAUGAAUUAGGUUACAAAUAUCAACAAUGAACACAGGCAUGAAGAAUGGGAACAUGUCCUUUAGAAAAGUGAAGAGUCACUUUCUCACUACAGAAAGCAAACACUGUCACAUGGGAAGGGUCAAAGGGCAUAGAAAUGUAAGGACCACAUGCACCUCCAAAGUUGCAUAUUCACUAACAUCAAACAUUUACAUAUUGAGACAUUCAAAUUGAUCAUAGGCAUCAUCACAUUAUUGCAAGCUCCUUACACAAUGUUCUGAGAAAUUAUUCUCAAAACAUAUGAACAAAAAACGUUUAUUUCAAAUCAUAGAUAUUUCAGAAAUUGAAAAAAGAAAUCUACCUAAUAAUAAUCUGUAUUAUAAUGUUUCCUCAACAGCAUCAUUCUUAUUACUAUAUCUACAGAUGGACUGAUAGCCAGAUCAUCCUAGUCUUACAAAAAAUUCAGCAGUGGCACAUUCCAAAAUUAACUUUCUUGUCCCUGGUUGAGCAUGAAGAACAGUAACAAACAAGUCCAUAGAGGAAUCUCAGUUCACCAAAUCUAUUGUUUUGCCUGCAGAAAUCAGUACAUAAAGAAAUAAGUAUACCUUCCAAACAAAAUCAUUAGUUCGGAAAGAAAACCACAUGUUUGUUUAGCUUAAAGAAACUUGUAAUCUAAUUGUUAUUCUAUUUGUUUCAAACCCUUUUGUUCUUCUCAAAUUUUCCAGAUUCCCACCCACUUGACAGCUCAAUGUGAAGAUAUGAACCAAAACAUGUGCUAAAGUAUAUGGUGUGGACAACUUUGGAAAGUCUACAAGGUAAGCUAACUUAUGUUGAAAAUUGACUUGGAAAAGAAGUUGUAUAGGUAGGUUCAAUGUAAGAACCAAAGGAGUCAGGUGGCAAUUUCAAGGCUACUCACCAAUACACCUAACUUCAGCAGAAUAUCAUUCAUGAGAUUGGAAGGUAAAACAUAAGAUACAAUCAUAACCAACUCCACCCUAUGAACCACGUUUUUUCUCCAUUGUAAACUCUCACCAAAUGAUAAGUCUUGAAGGUUACACAAAAACCCUUUUAAAAUUUGACAGUUUGCAGAUCAGACAAAAUAAAUGCAACCUCGGACCAUUAUGAUAGGUAACACUGUGUGUUUGAUGUUUCAAAUAUAAAUAACAUUUUUCUUUUGGUGGUAAAUAAUAUGGCCCACCAAAGGACACGAUAAACGAUGAUAAACAUAACAAAAUUAGAAAAUGAAGAACAGAAAGUACC
rnacentral:lncRNA from 1 species